AUCACCUGGUUGGUGGCAUGAAGGAGAGUAUGGGUUGUACAUUUCAUCACCUGGUUGGUGGCAUGAAUGGCAAGUUGCAAAAUGAUAUUAGAGUACGGGUUGUACAUUUCAUCACCUGGUUGGUGGCAUGAAGGAGAGUACGGGUUGUACAUUUCAUCACAUGGUUGGUGGCAUGAAGAUGAGUUCCUUCUUCACCUGGUUGGUGGCAUGAAUGGCAAGUUGCCAAAUGAUAUUAGAGUACGGGUUGUACAUUUCAUCACCUAGUUGGUGGCAUGAAGAAGAGGAUAGGUUAUACAUUUCAUCACGUGGUUGGUGGCAUGAAGAUGAGUUCCUUCUUCACCUGGUUGGUGGCAUGAGUGGCAAGUUGCUAAAUGAUAUUAGAGUACGGGUUGUACAUUUCAUCACCUGGUUGGUGGCAUGAAGAUAAGUUCCUUCUUCGCAUUUCAUCACCUGGUUGGUGAGCAUAAGGGCAAGGUGUCUAAGCACAUUG
rnacentral:lncRNA from 1 species